rnacentral:tRNA from 1 species
GGCUCUGUGGCCAAUGGAUAGCGCAUGGACUUCUAGUUGAAUGUAGGUAUCAAAGGUUGUGGGUUCGAAUCCCACCAGAGUCG